rnacentral:rRNA from 1 species
UACGGAGGGAGCUAGCGUUAUUCGGAAUUACUGGGCGUAAAGCGCACGUAGGCGGCUUUGUAAGUAAGAGGUGAAAGCCCAGAGCUCAACUCUGGAAUUGCCUUUUAGACUGCAUCGCUUGAAUCAUGGAGAGGUCAGUGGAAUUCCGAGUGUAGAGGUGAAAUUCGUAGAUAUUCGAAAGAACACCAGUGGCGAAGGCGGCUGACUGGACAUGUAUUGACGCUGAGGUGCGAAAGCGUGGGGGAGCAAACAGG